CCUACGGGGGGCAGCAGUGGGGAAUAUUGCACAAUGGGCGCAAGCCUGAUGCAGCCAUGCCGCGUGUGUGAAGAAGGCCUUCGGGUUGUAAAGCACUUUCAGCGGGGAGGAAGGCGUUAAGGUUAAUAACCUUGUCGAUUGACGUUACCCGCAGAAGAAGCACCGGCUAACUCCGUGCCAGCAGCCGCGGUAAUACGGAGGGUGCAAGUGUUAAUCGGAAUUACUGGGCGUAAAGCGCACGCAGGCGGUCUGUCAAGUCGGAUGUGAAAUCCCCGGGCUCAACCUGGGAACUGCAUUCGAAACUGGCAGGCUAGAGUCUUGUAGAGGGGGGUAGAAUUCCAGGUGUAGCGGUGAAAUGCGUAGAGAUCUGGAGGAAUACCGGUGGCGAAGGCGGCCCCCUGGACAAAGACUGACGCUCAGGUGCGAAAGCGUGGGGAGCAAACAGGAUUAGAUACCCUGGUAGUC
rnacentral:rRNA from 1 species